UUUUCCUGAUUGGUAGACUAAGGCUCAGAGAGAGGAGGAGGCAUUACCCAAAGCCGCACAGCUGGUAAAUGGGAAAAGAGGGGUUUAAAGGUACGUGCCCUGGAGGAGGCCAAUACUGACCUGGAGGUGAAGAUCCGUGACUGGUACCAGAAGCAGGCUCCGACCAGCCCGGAACGCGACUACAGCCAAUAUUUCAAGACCAUUGAAGAGCACCGGGACAAGGUAUGAGAAUGAGCUGGCCCUGCGCCAGGGAGUCGAGGCUGACAUCAAUGGCUUGCGCCGAGUCCUGGAUGAGCUGACCCUGGCCAGGACUGACCUGGAGAUGCAGAUUGAGGGCCUGAAUGAGGAGCUAGCCUACCUGAAGAAGAACCACGAGGAGGAGAUGAAGGAGUUCGACAGCCAGCUGGCUGGCCAGGUCAAUGUGGAGAUGGACGCAGCACCGGGUGUGGACCUGACCCGCGUGCUGGCAGAGAUGAGGGAGCAGUACGAGGCCAUGGCGGAGAGGAACCGCCGGGAUGUUGAGGCCUGGUUCUUCAGCAAGACUGAGGAGCUGAACAAAGAGGUGGCCUCCAACACAGAAAUGAUCCAGACCAGCAAGACGGAGAUCACAGACCUGAGACGCACGAUGCAGGAGCUGGAGAUCGAGCUGCAGUCCCAGCUCAGCAUGAAAGCUGGGCUGGAGAACUCACUGGCCGAGACAGAGUGCCGCUAUGCCAUGCAGCUGCAGCAGAUCCAGGGGCUCAUCGCUGGCCUGGAGGCCCAGCUGAGUGAGCUCCGAUGCGAGAUGGAGGCUCAGAACCAGGAGUACAAGAUGCUGCUUGACAUAAAGACGCGGCUGGAGCAGGAGAUCGCCACCUACCGCAGCCUGCUCGAGGGCCAGGAUGCCAAGUAGGUGCCUGGGCACAGGGGAAGGAGUGAUGAGGGCUGCUUGUGGCUGGGGUGCAGGGUUAUCCUAAGGGAAUGGCAGGGUGUCCCUAAGCAGCCUCGAGGGACUGUGAAAAGAGAACUGAGCAAGGAGGGAGGAUCUGGACUCCGCACUCUGGUCCUUGGCUGUUACCCGGGGCAGGUCACUUUCUCUCUCUGGAUCUGUGUUUCUUCUGUAAAUGAUAGAGGCUGGGCUAGUGGUGGUUAAGAUCUAGUGCUCAUUCCAUUCUCUGCAUGAAAUAGAUGGGUAUUCUUGUAGUUCAGAAUCUCAACCGGGCUCGGUGGCUCAUGCCUGUAAUCCCAGCACUUUGGGAGUCCAAGGCGGGUGGAUCACUUGAGGUCAGGAGUUCAAGACCAGCAUGGCCAAUAUGGUGAAACCCCAUCUCUACUAAAAAUACAAAAAUUAGCUGGGCGUGGUGGCAGGUGCCUGUAAUCCCAGCUACUCGGGAGGCUGAGGCACAAGAAUCACUUGAACCCGGGAGGCGGAGGUUUCAGUGAGCCGAGAUCGUGCCACUGCACUCCAGCCUGGGUGACAGAGUGAGAUUCCGUCUCAAAAAACAAACCAAAACAAAACAAAACAAAACAAAACAAAACAAAACAAAACAAAAAAAGAAUCUGUCUACUUGGGGGUAGCAGGCCUGGAUGGGCUAGCAGGAUGUCCCACCCCUAGAGGAGUCAGGUGUGUGGGUGGUGGUGGUGUAGGGUCUGAAGAACACUGCAUAGCUAUCUACAUGAGCUUCCCUUAGGGACACUUGAGCUUGUGCCGUUUGCUUAAAUCAGCUUCCCUCUUUCUUUCAGGAUGGCUGGCAUUGGCAUCAGGGAAGGUAGGAAGGCUUUACUCUUCUGGUGUGGUGUGGGGUGGGGAGGGGAGAUGUCGAAGCCACCACUCCCUUCGGAAUAGGGAGGAAGGAGAAAGAGCCCAAACAUCCCAUUAGGUGGGAACAUUCCCAUUCCAUUAGAUGCCUCUUCCCCAGUGGGACCUUCUCUCAGCCCCAGGUGAGAUUGUGGCUGGUGAUUUAUUGAGAAACUUCCAGGUUGAGUAGGCUUCAUUCAGGGCAUGUCUCUCCCCCAGGCCCCAUCUUCAUACACUUCUGCUAAGAUGCCCACAAUUCAUCCCCCUUCACGUGCAGCUUAAAAAACCCUGACAUUGUUGCUCCCUGCUGGGCAUACCUGCCAUUGCCACUGCCCAUCUUUGUGAUGACGAAUUCAACACCAGAUCUCUGGCAGCUCUUGAGGGAUUGGCCAGUGGCCAUUCUCAGGGGCGCUGUCUAGUUUUCCCAGAGUUCCGCCAAGGUCCUGGCCACCUUGGGAGAGAGGGGAGGUUCCCCCACUCUAAAGCCUGCUCCUUCUCUCUCUAGCCUCUUCGGGAGGUGGCGGCAGCAGCAGCAAUUUCCGCAUCAACAUAGAGGAGUCACUGGAUGGAAAGGUGGUUUCUUCCCGCACGAGAGAAAUCUAAGUGUCCAUUGCAGGAGAAACGUCCCUCGCCACUCCCCACUCUCAUCAGGCCAAGUGGAGGACUGGCCAGAGGGCCUGCACAUGCAAACUCCUGUCCCUGCCUUCAGAGAGCUGAAAAGGGUCCCUCGGUCUUUUAUUUCAGGGCUUUGCAUGCGCUCUGUUCCCCCUCUGCCUCUCCCCACCUUCUUUAGAGCAAGGAGGUGCAGCUGUAUUGUGUAACAAGCUCAUUUGUACAGUGUCUGUUCAUGCAAUAAAGAAUUACUUUUCCUUUUGCAAAU
rnacentral:sRNA from 1 species